rnacentral:rRNA from 1 species
CCUUCAUUGCUUAGUUGGUGCAUUGAGGCCUAUGUGGUGUUAUAAACUAAUUCAGAUUGUGAAACUAUGAAUGGCUUAUUAAAUUAGUUAUAGCUUAUUUGAUGGUAUCUAUUACUUGGAUAACCAUAGUAAUACUAGAGCUAAUACGUGCAUAAACCUAAACUUCUAAAAGGGAUGCAUUUAUUAGACAAAAGGUCGACGCGAGCUUUGCCCAUUAUUUUGAUGAUUCAUGAUAACUUGAUGGAUUGCAUGGCCGUAGUGUUGUGCUAGCAACACAUCAUUCAAAAUUUUUCCCUAUGAAGUUUCGAUGCUAGGAUAGUGGCCUACUAUGGUGGUGAUGGGUGAUGGAGAGUUAGGGUUUGAUUCUGGAAAGGGAGCUUGAAAAAUAGCUACCAUAUCCAAGGAAGGCAGUAGGAGCAGAAAUUACCUAAUCUUGACACAGGGAGUUAUUGACAAUAAAUAAUAAUAUUAAGCUUUAUGAGUUUAGCAAUUGGAAUGAGUACAAUCUAAAUCCUUUAGCGAUGAUCCAUUAGAGGGCAAGUUUGGUGCCAGUAGCCAUAGUAAUUCUAGCUCCAAUAGCACAAAUUUAAGUUGUUACAGUUAAAAAGCUCAUAGUUAGAGCUAGGGUUAAGUCAUCUAGUCUACCUCACAAUAAGCAUCGAUUUACUUGUCCCUACUACUAGCGAUGUACCCUUGGCCUUAACUGGCUAGGUCAUUCCUCUGACACUGCUACUUUGAAGAAAUUAGAGUGCUUAAAGCAGGCCCUUGCUUGUAUGCAUUAGUAUGGGAUAACAUCAUAGGAUUUUGGUCAUAUUGCAUUGGCCUUCGAUAUCAGAGUAAUGAUUAACAGAGACAAUCAGAGGCAUUUGUAUUUCAUAGUCAAAGGUGAAAUUCUUGGAUUUAUAAUAGACAAACAACUGCAAAAGCAUUUACCAAGGAUAUUUUUAUUAAUCAAGAAUGAAAGUUAGGGGCUAGAACAUGAUCAGAUACCAUCCUAGUCUCUACCAUAAAUGAUGUCGACCAGGGAUCAAUGGCUGUUACUUUUAAGACUCUAUUGGUACCUUAUGUGAAAUCAAAGUUUUUGGGUUUCAAGGGGAAUAUGGUCAGAGGGCUAAAACUUAAAGGAAUUGAUAGAAAGGCACCACCAAGAGUGGAGCCUAUAGCUUAAUUUCACUCAACAUGGGGAAACUUACCCGAUCUACACAUAGUAAGGAUUGACAGAUUGAGAACUUUUUCUUGAUUCUAUGGGUGGUGGUGCAUGGCCAUUCUUAGUUGGUAGAGUGAUUUGUCUAGUUAAUUCUGUUAAUGAACAAGAUCUCAACCUACUAACUAGCUACACGGAUGUGAUUCUUCAUGGCUAGCUUCUUAAAGGGACUAUGGCCAUUUAGGCUAAGGAAGUUUGAGGGAAUACUAGGUCUAUGACACCCAUAGAUGUUCUGGGCUGCUCAUACACUAUACUGAUAUAUUGAACAAGUUUAUAGCCUUGGCUGACAGGCUCGAGUAAUCUUUGAAAUUUCAUCAUGAUGGGGAUAGAUCAUUGCAAUUGUUAGUCUUCAAAGAGGAAUUCCUAGUAAGUGUGAAUUUUUAGCUCAUGUUGACUAUGUUCUUGCUCUUUGUACACACCGCCUAUCACUCUUACUGAUUGAAUGGUCUGGUGAAGUAUUUGGAUCAUGGUGAUAUGGAUGGUUCAUUAUCAAAGAUGUUUAAGAAGUCCAUUGAACCUUAUCAUUUAGAGGAAGGAGUAGUCAUAACAAGGUUUUCAUAAGUGAAACUUUAAAAG